AGGAUGAACGCUGGCGGCGUGCUUAACACAUGCAAGUCGAACGGUGAAAGAGAGCUUGCUCUCUGGAUCAGUGGCGAACGGGUGAGUAACACGUGAGUAACCUGCCCUUGACUCUGGGAUAAGCACUGGAAACGGUGUCUAAUACCGGAUACGACUUCCGAAGGCAUCUUCUGGAAGUGGAAAGAAUUUCGGUCAAGGAUGGACUCGCGGCCUAUCAGCUAGUUGGUGAGGUAACGGCCCACCAAGGCGACGACGGGUA
rnacentral:rRNA from 1 species